UUUUUAUAGAAUUUUAUUUUUUAGUCAAAAAGCUAAAAUAAAUUUAAAAGACGAGAAGACCCUAUAAAUCUUUAUAUUUUAUUUAUUUUAAUUAUAAAGAUUAUUUUUGUUAUAAUAAAUAAAAAUAUUUUAUUGGGGUGAUAUUAAAAUUUAAAAACUUUUAAUUUUUAAAAUCCUUAAUUUAUGUAUAAUUGAUCCAUUAAUAAUGAUUAAAAAUUUAAGUUACUUUAGGGAUAACAGCGUAAUUUUUUU
rnacentral:rRNA from 1 species